UUUACAUCUAUUCAAUCUGACAACAUUGACAGUGCGCCAUGUUUUCCGUUGUUUGCAGUUUGUCGUUAUGUCGCUCUUACAAUUUUUCUGAUUUUUUGGUAGUAAAAGUGAUUAUUCAGAACACUAUUUGAGUGUAAUCUGUUCCUUAAGGCCUAUUCAAUCGAAAAAUAUAUUUAUAUUUUAAGAAGAGUUGGAUCACUCCCUAUAUUCAUGAUGUGUGGCCAUUAUUCUGGUUUACGAGAUUGAUCUUCAAACAUCUGAUUAAAAAUUUUAUACAGCAAAUCGAUGGAUGUAUACAGUUCCAGGGCAGUACAUUUAAUGAAUUUUACCAACAUGUCAUCAACACUUAUAAGUAUAUCUAAAAUUUUAUUUCUUUUGGGUAAAUAUAUUUUUACUGGUUUUUAAUGUUCGUCGGUUGAUUUCAUCAUUUUCAAAUUCAAUGAAGAAGGAAAAAAAUUCCAAUGAGUCUCUGAGUUACAUUUUUAUGGUUCCUUAUAAUCACAGAAAAAUUCAGACCAUCUAUUUUUAGUUUGAGUCAAUUUUGGCUGUUGGCAACUUUUGGCCACUAUUUUCUUUUUGGUAUAAUACCAUUUACUUAGAACUUUACUUGAUUGCGUACAUCAAGAUGUUAUAUUUUCAUUUGAUCGUUUUUUAUUUUGUGAUUUUUUUUGUUUACUUCUAUUUCUCUAAAUACUUGGCUUCCCAUAUCUUCUGGAUUAUGGAAAUAAUAUCA